UAGGUCUGAACAGCAGCUGAAGAUUGGCAGCUGAAGAGAAGGAGACAUUUCAAUCUGCUAUACUGCCAACUGAUUUUCCUCGCUUUCUCAGUGAUUCAGCUUCAGUUCUAUCACCAACAUGAUUUCCCUUCGUUCAAGCGAAUUUCCUCUCUCUUAACUAAUCAAUAUGGCAUUCCAGCCAUGGAUGUUCUGGUCGCUAGUGAGGCUAAUCAGUGCACUAAUGUCUCAGCCGACUGCCUCAGUCACAACUUUAUUGUAUUACAGCAAUCUUCUUCCUAGAAACUUGAAUUUAGAGCGGUUGGUUCGACCUGAAUUGCUUGAUGGAGAGAACCGUUUGUUCCUUUUUCUCAUAGAUUUCUUAAGAUGCCUCUGAGCUAUCGGAUCUCUUACUGCAAAAUGAUCCUUGCUGGAUCCGAAAGAAAGGGGUUGGGCUAUGAUGGUGAAGAUUGGUAUGGACGGUGGCACAGUUGAGGGAGCUCUGGUGGUGGUGGUGCCAGAGCAGAAGUGAGUGCUAGCUCAUCGGAAAGAAGACCCCGAGUAAGGCAGCCUUGUUUGUUUCAUGAAAAUGAGAAGUCAUUUUCUAAAAGCUACUUUUCAAAUUUGUUUACAGUUAAAAAAAUCAAUAUUUUUCGGUUAAUAAAAAAUUUAAUUUUUUUUCAUGAAAGUAUUUUUUUUUAAUUUUAGGGUUGAAAAUCUUUCUAGAAAUUACAAAAAAAUCAAAAAUAUCUUAUUACUUAUUAAUUCUAUCAAAUUUAGUCAUUAAUCUUUUAAUUACUAUGUAUUUUGUUUUUAAUUAUUUUUAUUCAAUAUCACCCCUUACAAUUUGAUUUUUAUAUUAACUUUGAUCUUUUUUUAUUUUCUCUUAUCAUUUUUUUAAUUAAUUUUUUUUAUCUAUCAAAUUUGAUUCCUAUUCUUUUUAUUAUUAUUUAUUUUAUUUGAAAAAAUUAAUGAAAUUGUAGAAUAGAAAAUUUAAAUUUUUUUUCAUGAAAGUAUUUUCUUAUCAUUUUUUUUUUAAUUUCAUCAUCUUUUAAUUUUUUUCUGUCAAAUUUAAUCUCCAUUAUUUUGAAUGUUAUUUAUUUUAUUUGAAAUAAUUUAUGAAAUUAGAUAUUUUUUUAAUUGUAUCCUCCUUCAACUUUUUUAUUUGUUAUAUUAAUAAGUUAUUUUCAUGACACUAUAAAAUAUUAAAAAAUAAUUCACUUUUGAAAAAAAAUACUUUUCAUUGAAACUAUUUUGCCAAAAAUAAAUUAUUUUCCAGUAAAACAAGGUCAGAAACUGGGAAGUUUUGAGUUACCACCUGGAAAAACCUUGUACACUGCUGGUAAACAGAAUUUUCUGUGUCUCAUUCCUCUGUAUUGUUUAUUCGUCUCUUACUUUCUGCCCAGAAACCACAUCUAAACACUGCUCACUGCCAUGUAAUAAUCUAAAAGAUGCAUGUAAGUUAGCAUAUGUGGGAGAUCCAUUAGUUUAUAUAUAUAACACUGUUUAUGCAUCUUAAUUUAUUUUAUUGGUUAAAGACA